UACGUAGGUGGCAAGCGUUGUCCGGAUUUAUUGGGUUUAAAGGGUGCGUAGGCGGCCCUGUAAGUCAGUGCUGAAAUACCCCGGCUUAACCGGGGGGGUGGCAUUGAUACUGCAGGGCUUGAGUACAGAUGAGGUAGGCGGAAUUGACGGUGUAGCGGUGAAAUGCAUAGAUAUCGUCAAGAACACCGAUAGCGAAGGCAGCUUACUGGGCUGUAACUGACGCUGAUGCACGAAAGUGUGGGGAUCAAACAGG
rnacentral:rRNA from 2 species